UACGUAGGGUGUAAGCGUUAAUCGGAAUUACUGGGCGUAAAGCGUGCGCAGGCGGUUGUGCAAGACCGAUGUGAAAUCCCCGGGCUUAACCUGGGAAUGGCAUUGGUGACUGCACGGCUAGAGUGUGUCAGAGGGGGGUAGAAUUCCACGUGUAGCAGUGAAAUGCGUAGAGAUGUGGAGGAAUACCGAUGGCGAAGGCAGCCCCCUGGGAUAACACUGACGCUCAUGCACGAAAGCGUGGGGAGCAAACAGG
rnacentral:rRNA from 1 species